rnacentral:rRNA from 1 species
AGUGAACGCUGGCGGUAGGCCUAACACAUGCAAGUCGAACGGCAGCACAGUAAGAGCUUGCUCUUACGGGUGGCGAGUGGCGGACGGGUGAGGAAUACAUCGGAAUCUACUUUUUCGUGGGGGAUAACGUAGGGAAACUUACGCUAAUACCGCAUACAACCUACGGGUGAAAGCAGGGGAUCUUCGGACCUUGCGCGAUUGAAUGAGCCGAUGUCGGAUUAGCUAGUUGGCGGGGUAAAGGCCCACCAAGGCGACGAUCCGUAGCUGGUCUGAGAGGAUGAGCAGCCACACUGGAACUGAGACACGGUCCAGACUCCUACGGGAGGCAGCAGUGGGGAAUAUUGGACAAUGGGCGCAAGCCUGAUCCAGCCAUACCGCGUGGGUGAAGAAGGCCUUCGGGUUGUAAAGCCCUUUUGUUGGGAAAGAAAAGCAGCAGGUUAAUACCCCGCUGUUCUGACGGUACCCAAAGAAUAAGCACCGGCUAACUUCGUG